CUUUCACCCAAAAAAACAUCUUCCUUCUAAAUUUCUUCCUUUAUUUCUCUUCCUAAGCCUUCUUCACCGACUUCUUCUUCACAGCAUUUUAUUGUUUUGCAUUAACAACAAAAAAAAAACAAAUUAUUUGAAAGAAUUGUAGAACCGCCCUUCCAUUUGCGCUACGUAGUAUAAAUAUUCGUUAUGUUCUCCACGACCACGUCCGUGACCAUGCAUGUAUGAAGAUGAUGGAUUGGUCCCUAAAUCAUAGUAUUAUUGUCCAAAGUUUGAUGAUGAUGGACCUGUCAAAUUGUAAUAUCCUGUUCCGAAGUCUGACGAUUGACCGACUCCUCGAUCAUAAUAUCCCGUUCCAAACGUCGACAUCAUUAUCAUUGGACUAACGUAACUAGUCUCGCUCUUUCUUUGUGUGACAGGAGGCACUUCUUCCAUGUGUUGGUCAACUUCUUCCAAUUCAUCAAGCUCUUUCACUAGAGCACGUCUCCUUUGAAUUGGAGCAGGUACAAUAGGUACAUCGUACAUAUAGUGUAUAUUAUCGAUGUACUGCUUGUUAUCGUUGCAUAUAUUUAGGACCUGUUGUGGAUCAUCUGCAGCAUCUCGAAGUCUACAAUUGUUUAAUCUCUAUGAAAUAUUAAAAUGAAUUAGAAAUCAUUGAAAAUAAAUUUGCACUAAAAAUAAUUAUACAAUAUUUAAAUG